AACAUCGCGCACCUGCGGGAACCUGCGGAAGGAUCAUUACCGAGUUUACAACUCCCAAACCCCUGUGAACAUACCUAUACGUUGCCUCGGCGGAUCAGCCCGCGCCCUGUAAAACGGGACGGCCCGCCCGAGGACCCUAAACUCUGUUUUUAGUGGAACUUCUGAGUAAAACAAACAAAUAAAUCAAAACUUUUAACAAUGGAUCU
rnacentral:misc_RNA from 1 species